CGUGUAUGACUGCGCGGUGUCUUCGCGCCUUGUUUCUUGUUCGCACGGCGUUGGUUGACGGUGGAGGUGUGCUGUGCAGCGACGAGCUUCUAAUUCAAGUUGAAAUAGAAGAUCAGCUAUUUCUCCUUAGAAGAUGGCAGCAGUGCUAAAGACUCCAUGCACAGGGAGCUCCAGCUCAUUGUAUCUAAAAUGGUCGUACAGAAGUACAGCUGGGUUUCUGAGAACAAAUUAGCAUUUAAAAGCCUGGCAAAUGUGCUGCUGUUUCUCCUUGGUAAGUGUCAAUAGGAAACAAAUUCUAGUUUUCUCUCCUGCUCAUUACAACAUCCUCAUUAUGUGGUUCAGUAUUAUGUGUACUUCUCCAUGUUGUGAUAUUUCGGCCAUAGUUGUUUAGAAAAUGCUUCACCACGACCAAUAUACUGUACUACUGAUGUUUGUUUGGAAACUUGUCCAACUGAUACAAAUUUUUCAGAGUUUAUAUAUGCUGCCUUCAUGAAUACUGCCAACUUGUGCCAUCAGGAGCAAGAAUCAGCAUUGAAACAAACAGUUUCACUACUACCAAGGUGCUUCUCCAGUGCAGUGUUCGAUCAUCUUAUUUACUGUUUUAUUGGCGCUCCUAUUUUUAGGAGCCAAGAACCAGAGCACAUAACCAAUUUCUUUGUUUAACAGUCAGCAGCACUGCUAAGCAGCAGGACUCAACAGAAGCUACACGGCAACUACAACAUUAUGGUACAUAGACUAUCCCAGCAACGUUCAUAAAUAUCAAAGGACAUACGCACAGGAAGAAAUCAAGGACAUAAUAGAGUGCUCGUGCGCCAAUGCUCCUUCCAUAGUGCUAUCAGCAAAAAGAAGUGCCAGACAUACCCUCUUCAACACAACUGACGCAGCUGUUUCGGACAUAACAAAAAGGUGGCUCAUGUUCGCUGUGGAUCAAGAAGGUGCACUUAUGCAAAGACGGCAUGCCACCUUGAUGAAAGACUCCAACAGAAGCCCAAGCAACACUUUAUAAUUGCAAGAGUUCAGGAAGGAAUAUAAAAAUGGUGUAUUGCCUUGUAUAUAUUCAGUGUAAAAUAAACCUGAAG
rnacentral:lncRNA from 1 species